GCCAAAUCUUGGUACAGUCCGCUCAGUAAUAGAAAGGUUCAUACCCGUUUCUACCGAGAUGAAUAUGGACUUAAAGAAACACCUCCCGUCGGAGUGUGGUCAGAGUGCAAUAAUUCGUAACGACGCGAAGGCAUUUUGGAACGCGUUGGGCGGCGACCGCAUCGUGACGGCGCACCUCGCGCACUACCUCGACCGCCACCGGCUGCUGAAUCCGCAGUACGCCAACAUCAGAGCCGAUCUUAUCUAGGAUAUGCGUUGUUCUGAGGAAGAC